UACGUAGGGUGCAAGCGUUAAUCGGAAUUACUGGGCGUAAAGCGUGCGCAGGCGGUUAUGCAAGACAGAUGUGAAAUCCCCCGGGCUCAACCUGGGAACUGCAUUUGUGACUGCAUGGCUAGAGUACGGUAGAGGGGGGAUGGAAUUCCGCGUGUAGCAGUGAAAUGCGUAGAUAUGCGGAGGAACACCGAUGGCGAAGGCAAUCCCCUGGACCUGUACUGACGCUCAUGCACGAAAGCGUGGGGAGCAAACAGG
rnacentral:rRNA from 1 species